GCUAUUUUGGCAGAUUAGUGCAGUAGAUUUAGAAUUUAUUUAUGUAGAUUGUUCUACAAGUAGUA
rnacentral:tRNA from 1 species